AUGAUUGUGUACAUCUUAAAGUGAAUUACCUGUUAUGAUAAAUAAUUUCUUUCAGAAACAACUACUGAAGUAUAGUAGGCACAAAAAAUUGCAAUUCCACCUCAAAAUCCACCGUGGGAAAUCUAUGCUUUUAUUAGGCAAGAGUGUGAGUGACUCCAAAGCAGCCACAUUGCCAAGUCUUUGCCCAUUGUGGAUGAUGGCUUCUUCAUGGCUACAUAGUUAUGGCACUGCACAACUCUCUUUCAACAGCCUACAUCUUGUAUUACCUCCUGAAACUAAAGACCAUGAGUAAUUGGGACAUAACUGCAUACAAAUUACAGGAAACUCAGGAACUCAAGAUCAACCAAAACCUUGUCACACCAGCUUUUCAGUGAUGUGAAGCAUUAAGGAGCAUGUCUGUUUCCAUUUCUAAUGGCCACUACAGCAAGGAAUCAUAUCAUACCAUUCCCUGAAAAGAAAGAUGACCAUUUUGGAAUUGUCUUCACAGAUACUCCACUCUUGGAUAGUACAACCUCAACUCUGUUUUAUUACCCAUUCAAUGGGCUGUUCCACCGCUCAUUUGUGUUCUGUUGGGUCUCUUUGUGCAACAGUUUGUUGCAUUAAUUUCUCUCAGGAGAUACAUGUAAAUGUCUAUUCAUUCCAGAGUUCGCAUUGAAGAGAUCAAAGAAACAUCUUAAAGAGGCAACAUGAGGAUGUUAGAUCCCCUGGAGCUGGACUUACAGGGUAUUGUUAGCUGUAUGACAUGGAUGCUGCAAACUGAGCCCAGGUCCUAUGCAAGAGCAAUGAAGUGUUCUUGAACCAUCCCUUCAGCCCCAGAUAUUUUCACUGUUAGGUAGAAUUUACAUUUGUGUGCUUUCCACCAAUGUAUUUAGAAUACUUUGAGAGUUGACUUGUUUAAUUGAACUCUGUCUCUCCCUUCUUGUCAUGACUAUAGUGCUGAGAAAAUAGUUUUAUCAGAAAAAUAAUAUUUUAAAUAAUGGAGAAAAAAGAAUUAAAAUGAUAAAACCAUUUUCCUGAGUCAAGCAUCUUGUUAUUUAGAAGAUGGGCAUUUGUUUCAUUAAUUGAAUAAUGAUUAGGGAACUUUAGUUUAUUUAAAAUAGGGAGAAAGAUUAUUCACAAAAUAAUUUAAUGUUUCG
rnacentral:lncRNA from 1 species